GGGUGCAACCGCCUUAUUGUCAACUCAGAUAAUAUGGAAGUGAUGGACAUGAUGAAGAAUGGAGGACAAUUGGCGGCAGUGGCGACGACAGUGUUCGAUGAUUGCUAUUUUAUGCCUUGCGAAUUUACUAUUACUAGGCUUGAACAUUGUAAUAGGGAAAUAAAUAAAGUUGCUCAUGAACUUGCUAGGCUAGCGAAAUUCUCUACGACUAGGGAUUGGUUUGAGGAGCUCAUGGUUGAUAUUGUAUCCUUGAUGUAA
rnacentral:rRNA from 1 species